rnacentral:rRNA from 1 species
AUUGAGCGCUGGCGGCAUGCCUUACACAUGCAAGUCGAACGGCAGCACGGACUUCGGUCUGGUGGCGAGUGGCGAACGGGUGAGUAAUGCAUCGGAACGUACCCGGUAGUGGGGGAUGACUAUCCGAAAGGGAGGCUAAUACCGCAUAUACUGUGCGGAGGAAAGCAGGGGACCUUGGGGCCUUGGGCUACGGGAUGGGCCGAUGUCGGAUUAGGUAGUUGGUGGGGUAAUGGCCUACCAAGCCUGCGAUCUGCAGCGGGUCUGAGAGGGUGAUCCGCCACACUGGGACUGAGACACGGCCCAGACUCCUACGGGAGGCAGCAGUGGGGAAUUUUGGACAAUGGGCGCAAGCCUGAUCCAGCCAUGCCGCGUGAGUGAAGAAGGCCUUCGGGUUGUAAAGCUCUUUCGGACGGAAAGAAGUCGUGCAGGCCAAUACCCUGCGCGGAUGACGGUACCGUCAUAAGAAGCACCGGCUAACUACGUGCCAGCCGCCGCGGUAAGAC